rnacentral:misc_RNA from 1 species
CUUAGAUAUUUAAAUUAAAAUUUUAAAAGUUUCAUAAGAAGAAGUGUAGAGUCUUGAAAUUAGUGCGGCAUUUAAUUAUAAGAGUUUAAUUAACUCGAUUUAUAUUUAUAUUUAAAUAAAACGCUGAUGUCUUCGGCUAGACGUUAGCGACACAAAUCGAUAUCGCCGUAUAUAUAUAAGGGUUUUAUCUUUUUUAUACGGAUUAGGUAGGUCUGGCAGAUUCUGAUAUUAUCAAUGGGUAGAACUGAUAUGUCUAAAACACUUAAUGCCUAUAGAAUAAAAAAAAUAGAACACAUUGGCAGAAUGACAGCCAUGACGCAGGAAGAAAUAAUAGCUGGCGCCCGAACAGUGGCCCAGGGCUUGGAAGCUCUGAGGGUCGAACACACUGGACUCCUCCAAGGACUCCAGUCUCAAGAGGCACCGGAGGCUCGUGACAAAGUCAGCCUCCUCUGUAAAAAUAUUGAGAUGAUAGAGCUGGGCCUGGGCGAAGCUCAGGUAAUGAUGGCUCUCGCGAGCCAGCUUCAAAUGGUUGAGGCUGAAAAACAAAAAUUAAGAACUCAAGUCAAAAGGCUUUGUCAAGAGAAUGCUUGGCUACGUGAUGAGCUUGCUGGUACUCAACAGAAGCUACAGGCUAGUGAACAAGCUGUUGCUCAGUUGGAAGUCGAUAAAAAACACAUCGACUUUAUGGAAAGUAUGAGACAAUACGAUCCAGAUCCACCAGCAGACGAUGAAAAUGUAAAAGACAAACCAAAGGAAGAUCCAAUGGUCGAUUUGUUCCCGGAUGAUGAAGGGGACGAACGAAACAGUAAGUCAAUGUCACCAACCCCGCCGUCACAAUUUGCCCAGCAAGUGAACGCCGGCUACGAGAUACCCGCACGUCUGCGUACGCUGCAUAAUUUAGUAAUACAGUACGCAAGUCAAGGCCGCUAUGAAGUUGCAGUUCCACUGUGCAAGCAAGCACUGGAGGACCUUGAGAAGACCUCGGGUCACGAUCACCCAGACGUCGCAACAAUGCUUAACAUACUGGCGCUAGUCUACCGCGAUCAGAACAAGUACAAGGAGGCGGCCAAUUUGUUGAACGACGCGCUCGCGAUCCGUGAAAAAACCCUCGGGGAAAAUCACCCAGCAGUCGCCGCGACGCUUAAUAAUUUGGCGGUGCUCUACGGAAAGCGUGGCAAGUACAAGGAAGCUGAGCCGCUCUGCAAGCGUGCUCUGGAGAUCCGGGAGAAAGUUCUUGGUCGCGACCAUCCAGACGUAGCCAAGCAGCUGAAUAAUUUGGCGCUUCUCUGUCAGAACCAGGGCAAAUAUGAAGAAGUUCAGAGAUAUUACCAGCGUGCGUUAGAAAUCUAUGAAGCUAAGUUGGGUCCAGACGAUCCCAAUGUUGCUAAGACGAAGAAUAAUUUGGCAUCUUGUUAUUUAAAACAAGGAAAAUACAAAGAUGCUGAAGUUUUAUACAAACAAGUUCUCACUAGAGCACAUGAGCGGGAAUUCGGUGCUAUCGAUGGUGAUAAUAAACCUAUUUGGCAGGUCGCCGAAGAACGAGAAGAAAACAAACAUAGAAAUAAAGAAAAUGCACCUUAUGGCGAGUACGGUGGAUGGCACAAAGCGGCUAAAGUUGACUCACCCACCGUAACUACGACGUUGAAGAAUUUAGGAGCUCUUUACAGACGACAGGGCAAAUACGAGGCUGCUGAAACCCUUGAAGACUGUGCUCUGAGAUCACGCAAGGAACAUUUGCAGCAGGCCCUGGAUUUAGUAAAACAAGCUAAAGUCGCACAAAUACUUGGUGAUGAGAAAGGCUCAACGCGACGUGGAUCACGUUCGAGCCUGGCGAACAGUGAGCACGAGCAGCACGACGAGUUACGCGGGCCCGGGGCUUAGGUACAGUCAUAGUCGAUGUUCUGGACAGUAUACAAGUGAGAAGAGUUUGUCGAGGGACCUCAAUGGGAAUCAAAAGACUUGAGAAAUAUACGCUGUACAGAAUCGAAAGUAACAUGCACGGAUCAUUAAUUAUUAAUGGAUUAAUGGAUUAAUAAGCCACUGAGGACAAAUAAGUGUCAAGA